rnacentral:rRNA from 1 species
GAUGAACGCUGGCGGCGUGCCUAAUACAUGCAAGUCGAGCGAACAGACGAGGAGCUUGCUCCUCUGGCAUUAGCGGCGGACGGGUGAGUAACACGUGGAUAACCUACCUAUAAGACUGGGAUAACUUCGGGAAACCGGAGCUAAUACCGGAUAAUAUAUUGAACCGCAUGGUUCAAUAGUGAAAGACGGUUUUGCUGUCACUUAUAGAUGGAUCCGCGCCGCAUUAGCUAGUUGGUAAGGUAACGGCUUACCAAGGCAACGAUGCGUAGCCGACCUGAGAGGGUGAUCGGCCACACUGGAACUGAGACACGGUCCAGACUCCUACGGGAGGCAGCAGUAGGGAAUCUUCCGCAAUGGGCGAAAGCCUGACGGAGCAACGCCGCGUGAGUGAUGAAGGUCUUCGGAUCGUAAAACUCUGUUAUUAGGGAAGAACAAAUGUGUAAGUAACUAUGCACGUCUUGACGGUACCUAAUCAGAAAGCCACGGCUAACUACGUG